rnacentral:tRNA from 1 species
GCCCUGGUAGUAUAACUUAUUACUCUGGUCUUGUAAACCAAAAAUGAAGCCUACAUGCUUCCCAGGACA